rnacentral:rRNA from 1 species
AUGCGGAGAAGGUGGCCCGGGUCGGCGUUGGCGCCAUCCGGCGCGGGCCACGGGUCCGCUUCCAAAUGCGUCUGCAAGCCGGCCACCCACGCCGGGUCAUUCAAGUGCCGCUUCCACCGCACCAACUCCCAGGGCCACGGCCAGGGCCAGGGAAGCCGCCCUUCACCGGUCGCGGCCAACGCGGUGCUGCGGCACCCGACCUCGCCGUCCUUGUCCUCCGGCAUCGUCGCGACCUAG